rnacentral:rRNA from 1 species
UACAGAGGGUGCUAGCGUUGUCCGGAAUCACUGGGCGUAAAGGGCGCGUAGGCGGCUUUCUACGCGUGCGGUGAAAGCCCGGGGCUUAACUCCGGGUCUGCCGUGCGAACGGGGAGGCUAGAGUCUGGUAGAGGUCGAUGGAAUUCCGGGUGUAGCGGUGGAAUGCGUAGAGAUCCGGAAGAACACCGGUGGCGAAGGCGGUCGACUGGGCCAGAACUGACGCUGAGGCGCGACAGCGUGGGGAGCAAACAGG